AGGCUGUGUGUGACAGACUGAUACAAGUGGGUCCUCUGAGUUUUCAUUUUUUUCAGAAUCCAGUUGUAGUCCCACAUGAGAUGGAGGCUCAGUCACCUGGUUGGUUUUUCUGGCCCUAAUAAAACAUGUUUCUACAAGUGACCCUGGAAGUCCCAUUAAAUCCUAAAGAAACAGCCUCAGAUGAAGCUCAGAUGUCUUGGACCCAGGAGAGGACACAUCAUAGUCAUCAGGCCGUGGAGAAGCAGGAAUGAAGUUUUAAUAAAAACAACCACGUGAACAAUUAUCAGUGUAUCAGAGCAACUAUACCUCAAAUGACAGAAAACAUCUCUGGGAAACAUCAUGAAGUGUAUCACUGCAGCUCAUCAACACCAGUCAUCUCUCACACUGAGAGGAGAUUUGACUUCCACAUUAUUUCCCUCUUCCCUCGUGUGUCUCCUUUCAGCAUCUUGUAGUUUUACAUUGAACUCUCCAUCGACUCAGUGACACAGAGAAAUGGAUGAGUUUCACAAUGAGCUCAAAUCCACUUGUUUUCAGUAACUUCUAUUCAGGGACUCAUCCAGGAACUUGUGUUGUUGUCCUGCAGUGUGUUUUCAGGGACAGUUUGCUUUGGGACAAACUGAACUACUUGUGUUAGAUGAAGGUUGAAAAGCAGCUUUUUCACUCACGCUUUCAUAUAAACAUCUGUGACUUUGAAAAGUCUGUAAACUGGAAAAGUGAAUCACAGCGAGUGAGUUUCUUUAAUAUACGUUAUCAGCAGCCACACUGAUGAUUGGAUGGCACUGAUGGAGGCAAUAUGCAAACCCCCGCUGCUUUGUCCCCUUUCCUGAAUUUUAUGAAUAAUACAACUUUAAUGUGAUAAUUAA